rnacentral:rRNA from 1 species
ACUGAACGCUGGCGGAAUGCUUUACACAUGCAAGUCGAACGGCAGCACGGACUUCGGUCUGGUGGCGAGUGGCGAACGGGUGAGUAAUGUAUCGGAACGUGCCCAGUCGUGGGGGAUAACGUAGUGAAAAUUACGCUAAUACCGCAUACGAUCUAUGGAUGAAAGCGGGGGAUCGCAAGACCUCGCGCGAUUGGAGCGGCCGAUAUCAGAUUAGGUAGUUGGUGGGGUAAAGGCACACAAAGCCAACGAUCUGUAGAUGGUCUGAGAGGACGACCAGCCACACUGGGACUUAGACAUGGUCCAGACUCUGCCGGGAGCAAGCAGUGGGGAAUUUUGGACGAUGGGCGAAAGCCUGAUACAGCCAUUCCGCGUGCAGGAUGAAGGCCCUCGGGUUGUAAACUGCUUUUGUACAGAACGAAAAGGUUUCUACUAAUACUAGGAGCUCAUGACGGUACUGUAAGAAUAAGCACCGGCUAACUACGUGCCAGCCGCCGCCGUAA